ensembl:lncRNA
CUGUGAUGAAGAGGAGGCUUCUUGUUGCUUUCCCCUGCAAGAUAUGUGGCAAGCCUAAAAGAAAAGAAUUUGGCCACAGCCAAGUACAGGGGAGAGCACUUCUGUGAGGCAGCAGGGGGAGGCAAAAAACUUCAGCAAUCUUUGGGGGCCCUGUAAAGUAUGUCAAGGUGCUCCAAGUGCCCCGUGGAGGCCCCCAGGGGCCAGCCUACAAGAUGGACUGAGACGGGCAUUCUUCUCUGUUCCAAUUGUUCCAAAUACCCAUAGUAUUCCAUUAGCCUCUUCUCCAAUCAGAUGCUUCAGUUUAUUCCAAAUUGGAGAAAGAGAGCAAAAAUCCACCAAUGAAGAGCCAAUCAUCUUCCUCUGAAAUGUUCCUAAAUCUUUUUCUGUCAGCCAUUGAUGCUACUCGGUGAGUCUCUGAGUCUUUAGGCAUUGGAGAACGACGUGGGCUACAUGGUGCACGUGGUAACAGUGCAUCAGAAGGAGAGGGAGCGAGAGGGCAGCGUUUCCCAGCAUCCCCUGAUGGGCCAACAAGGACGCCUUGACUCGCUAUUCGUGCACCUUCGCUGAGAUGGUCAGGUUCAACCGGGUGUACGAGGAAGCUAAAGUCCUCCUAGCCAGAUAUGUCAGGAGCUUGAGGACGCAGACACCCCGUUAUCCUGGGAGUGCGAUGGCCGCCUUGAUUGACUACAUUCAGCGCAGAGACCAGGAGGGGGUAGCUGCUGUGGCCAGGCCCGCCCCAGCCAGCACCACCCCCGCCAGUAACGCCCGGCCCAAGAGUGCGGCUACGCCUCUUGGUCCUGCGAUAUCUGCGUUCCUUUCAAGGCGCUCUCUCGCCCCAGGUGAACUGCAGGCGAAGAUGAAGAAACUCAUUGCAGUUCAAGGGGUGUCUUUCCCUCGACCAGCACUGCCACCAACAGAUCUAUCAGAUACAGAGCUGGUCAAAGCAGCUGCUGACAGAACAUGUUUGUUUUUACGUCACUAUUAAAUUGACACAGGAAAUUUGAUCCGUUUUGAUAAGUAUUCAGUUAAAGUUUGCUGACAUUUUAAAGUGUGUUACAUUUUUCCGUCAUCAGCCCAAGGAAAUGUAUUGGUAAGAGUCAUCUGGGUUUUGAGGAGAGUCACUGCAUGUAUGAACUAUUAAAUAUGUUACCUAUCCACUGUAGCGGUCAUCCUGCAUGUAGCUGUCAUCCUGCAUGUAGCUGUCAUCCUGCAUGUAGCUGUCAUCCUGCAUGUAGCUGUCAUCCUGCAUGUAGCUGUCAUCCUGCAUGUAGCUGUCAUCCUGCAUGUAGCUGUCAUCCUGCAUGUCGCUGUCACGCCCUGACCUUAGAGAGCC